rnacentral:rRNA from 1 species
UACGUAGGGGGCGAGCGUUGUCCGGAUUCAUUGGGCGUAAAGAGCUCGUAGGCGGCUUGGCAAGUCGGGUGUGAAACCUCCAGGCUCAACCUGGAGUCGCCAUCCGAUACUGCCAUGGCUAGAGUCCGGUAGGGGAUCGUGGAAUUCCUGGUGUAGCGGUGAAAUGCGCAGAUAUCAGGAGGAACACCGGUGGCGAAGGCGGCGAUCUGGGCCGGUACUGACGCUGAGGAGCGAAAGCGUGGGGA